GUUCCCUGUCCUCGAUCCAUCAGGAAGAUCAAAAAAGGCCUCUGCCCCACCAAGAGAUUUUCUACUGAACUGCAAAGUCCAGGACAGUGAAGCCACAUCCAGAGGUAGGGAGGGCCUGUUUCAGAGACCUUUCAGGUAACAUGGUCAUGUCCCAUGAUCACCAACAUGAUUUGUUUGAUAGGUAAUGAAAUGUUCGGCUAAAACCUUAGACUUGAUUAAUCCCACCAGGGGCAAUCGAUUUACAAUCAGGGAUUACAGGUUUUAUUUGUCACGGUUACCUUAAUGUCAAUGUGUUAAUAAUGCUUUCUGCUCACUGCCAACCAAUCAUCAGUUCAGAAGACUCAUUUCACAUGUUCUUAGGAUGUUAAUAUGUCUGUUAGUCAUAUUAGGAGGGAAUAAUUGAAGCAGCUUAACCUCGCUAUAGAUAUAAAAACAUCCGAUUUGUAAAAAUUAUUUUUACAUCACCAACAAUACAGCAUACACUCAUCCACUCAUCCAUCCAUCCUCACAUUCUUCCCUGACUUGUGAAUGAGACCCUAAGAUACUUGAGCUCCUCCACUUCCAUGAUAGAUGUUAAAUUAACUUAAGUAUUAAACACUCAGGAACACUCGUGCAUUAUUUAAACAGUAAGUAAAGAUCCUCGACUCUUUCUGUGAGCCAUUUUCAAAAUCUGUGAGCUAUUUACAUGUUGUCCUAGGUUCAGUCCGAACAGCUGAACCUUCAGGUCACGCUCACUUCUCUGUGGUUUUAAUCUGAUCUGUUUUGGUUUGUCCAGCUUCAUUCACCUUGUGGACUACGUGUUCAUGAGCACCUUGCCCAGUUUGGUGGUGAACACAGAGACCAGGUUGCUGUCUGAAGUCAGUGAGUGGGCUCAUCGAACCUCUCGCCAAG